UCUAAAGCGUCACGAACUUGAACAAGUUAUCGAGAAUAUCAUCGAAGAAUCAACCGAUUCGAUCGAAAAACAACGAAACUGCCAAGGAGGAAAUACAAGAAAGAGAAAACGAAGGAAGAGAAAAAAUCGGAGGAAAAUCACGAAAGCAACGAGCCAUCCGGCUCGGCGUACUUUCUACGAUCCAAUCCACCAAGUUUCACCUUCCCGCGCCAUUCUGUCUCCGUGUUCCGUAGGACUUUCAUACAAGAAGCCUUAGAACUCUUGGUCAAGCCUGGAAGCAAUAGUCGUUGAUGGUUUCCGUACGUACCGUCGAUGGAAGAGAUACGAAGAGAUCGUAAAAUCGAUAAGUAAGUGUACGAUCGAAAUUGGGAAAUUGGAAUUUCAGGCAGUGUCGUAUCUCACCGUAUCUCUCAUUUUCAGCGAACAGCAUACGAAAUAACCGACGUCCUCCAAAGACAAAUUGGUCAGUUCCACUCUUUGUGAAUUUUUUCAAUUUCGUUAUCGGCGGGAAAUACCGAUACUCAAUCGGAAAGAAAAAAAACAUCCUGACCAUUUAACGCGUGGCUACCGUAUCUCUUACAGCGAGUAUAGACGUACACGAAGGACACGAGAGCGUGAUAUCUCUAGCGUUGGAAGUGGGAGACACGAAACGACGUAGUCAAGGCCGCCGCUUAGCCGUUCCGCUCGGAGCGGUACAUCGAGAGUCGAAAGUGAAACGUCGCCGGUACCGGCGGAAUGACGCACGAUUUUCUCUGUCUUUCUCCCUCCGAUACGAUCGAAAUACACGAACGAACAGUCGUGACUGUCCCGUUUUCGUGAUCGUUUUCGCACACGCCGCUCAGGAUACCGAACGCGUUUAACGCGUGAAAGUUAAGCAGAGAUAAGUAUGCUCGAGGGGUCGAUAAUUGCCGUACAAUUGCAACAGGUAUGCAAGCGGAAAGUAAACGGAAGGGAAGUAACAGGGAGUUGUACCGCGUGGAAACGAGCUUGGAGAGGGAUGACAGUGAAAGAAGAGUGGACUAGGCAUACCUACCGCUAGAAACGGCACAGUAUACAGUCGAGGAUUUAUUGCAUGUGUGGAAUGUGGAACGUCAAAGCCUACGUGCAUCACGGCAGGAACUCAAUCAGUCAACCAUUUCCGGGAUAUCGAUCAAAUACAAGAGGACCAUGAGACGUUUCCGCAACAUUGUACCGAAUACAUGUACAUGCAUCGUUCUUUAUUAUAAAAUAGAAUACCGCAAAUAAAUUACCAUGAGGGAAGACGACCGUCGCAACGAUAUACAAACUCUUCUUACCUUCGAGCAUGCGUCGCGUCGUGAAGUUGCACGGGCAAGGAAACAAUUCAACGUUCAUUAUUCAGCCUUUAAAAGUCUUGCCGGACAGAUAUAUCCCCCUACGAAGUGCAGUCAAAGAGGUUUCAACGAACUAAGUUGUCUCAUGGCGGUCGUACCACGCCAUAAAAACGAAAUUACGGUUUUGUAACGCUACAACGCUACCUGUUAUUUCACAGUUCUCGGUCCUAAAUCAUAAAAUCUACCGCUACACUCUAAGUAACUGUACAGUUUCGGCUACCUUCGUAUACGGUACGAGACACCUGGAAGAAUACACGGUUUAAUAGCCUUGAGUCUCUUAAGGGUCGGAAAACAUUGUUAAAGAGAAUUUGCUUUAUGUCAUCAUAUAUUGUUUUCGGUGUUUCCUUCAUGAAGUCAUAUAUUUAUUUUAUUUCCAUCUUUAUGGAGGCAUAAAAACUUAAGUCUAGGUUCAUCGGUGACCUAUAGCCAGAAAUAAAGUUUUCAUUAGCUUGGUAUAAAUACUCGCUGAUUUACCGCUUGGCAAGGGACACGGAGGAAAGUAACAUUUUCAAGAAUUUGUCACGCUUGCUAUUUGUUUACGACGAAAUAAUCUGAAGUUUCUCUUUAAGAUUCCUAAGCACGUUUCUAAAUAGAUUUAAGAAAUUUAAUCGAAUCAUCGAAAUAUCCAAAGAUAUCUGGCUGGUUAACAUCAGUUCCUAAAAAUUUUUAUUUAAAAAGCGUGUAUUUGAUAGAAACCAAUUUUCACCAAUAACAGCUCC